rnacentral:rRNA from 1 species
UUUCCGGUUGAUCCCGCCGGACCUGACUGCUAUCGGAUUGAUACUAAGCCAUGCGAGUCUUUGCAGUAAUGCAAGGCAUACGGCUCAGUAACACGUAGUCAACUUACCCUAUGGACGAGGAUAAUCUCGGGAAACUGAGCAUAAUACUCGAUAGAUCAUAAUGCCUGGAAUGGUUCAUGGUUGAAAUGAUUCGUCGCCAUAGGAUGGGACUGCGGCCUAUCAGCUUGUUGGUGAGGUAAUGGCCCACCAAGGCGAUUACAGGUACGGGCUCUGAGAGGAGAAGCCCGGAGAUGGGUACUGAGACAAGGACCCAGGCCCUAUGGGGCGCAGCAGGCGAGAAAACUUUGCAAUGUGCGAAAGCACGACAAGGUUAAUCCGAGUGAUUUCUGCUAAAGGAAUCUUUUGCAAGUCAUAAAACCACUAGUGAAUAAGGGGUGGGCAAGUUCUGGUGUCAGCCGCCGCGGUAAAACCAGCACCUCAAGUGGUCAGGAGGAUUAUUGGGCCUAAAGCAUCCGUAGCCGGCUCUGUAAGUUUUCGGUUAAAUCCAUGUGCUCAACGCAUGGGCCGCCGAAAAUACUGCAUAGCUAGGGAGUGGGAGAGGUAGACGGUACUCAGUAGGAAGGGGUAAAAUCCUUUGAUCUAUUGAUGACCACCUGUGGCGAAGGCGGUCUACCAGAACACGUUCGACGGUGAGGGAUGAAAGCUGGGGGAGCAAACCGGAUUAGAUACCCGGGUAGUCCCAGCUGUAAACGAUGCAGACUCGAUGAUGCAUUGGCAUAUAGCCAGUGCAGUGUCGCAGGGAAGCUGUUAAGUCUGCCGCCUGGGAAGUACGUACGCAAGUAUGAAACUUAAAGGAAUUGGCGGGGGAGCACCACAAGGGGUGAAGCCUGCGGUUCAAUUGGAUUCAACGCCGGG